ACAAAAAAAGUAAUGCCGGUUAUUGCAACAUACUCUUUCAAUGGUUCCCCUUUAAUCAGAGUUAUGCAGUACAAGUAUCUUGGUGUCACAUUUACUCAUGAUCUCUCAUGGUCUACUCACAUUGCCCUAACAUGUUCUAAAGCCCUAAAAAAAUUAGGAUAUUUACGUCGAACAAUGCAGAAUGCCCCAAAAGAUAUUAAACUUUUAAUGUAUAAAUCUCUUGUUCGCCCUAUCAUCGAUUAUGCCUCCACGGUCUGGUCACCUUAUCGACAAUGCGACAUAAUCAGACUGGAAGCGGUUCAAAAGAAAGCUGCGCGUUUCAUUUUUCGCAGGUACGACCGUUAUUUCUCACCCUCAUCAGCCCUACAUGAGCUAAAGCUAGAACCUCUUUCGGUACGUCGUGAUGUGGAAUCAUUAAAAUUUUUGCACAACAUAAUCAAUAAUUCAUAUCGCAUUUCAAACACAGCUUUUUUGUCCUUUGCCAAGCCUUCCUCUACGCGUAACUUCCAUAAACUUAAUCUUUCUACCUUAUUUGCGCGCACUGACACAUUUAAGUAUAGUUUCUUUCCCCGCACUAUAGAAUUAUGGAAUUCCAUACCUGGCCACAUUCGUUCACUCCCCCUGAAUGAUUAUGUUUCUAUUCUUGUUGAAAGUCAUUAUGUAACACAAGCUUGAUU
rnacentral:lncRNA from 1 species